UACGAAGGGGGCUAGCGUUGUUCGGAAUUACUGGGCGUAAAGCGCGCGCAGGCGGUCCUUUAAGUCAGGGGUGAAAGCCCAGAGCUCAACUCUGGAACUGCCUUUGAAACUAGAGGACUUGGGUACGGGAGAGGUGAGUGGAAUUCCGAGUGUAGAGGUGAAAUUCGUAGAUAUUCGGAAGAACACCAGUGGCGAAGGCGACUCGCUGGACAGGUAUUGACGCUGAGGUGCGAAAGCGUGGGGAGCAAACAGG
rnacentral:rRNA from 1 species